UGUGUGUACGACGAUGAGAUUGAAGACGCUGGCUGAGAUUUGAUCAGCCACCCACUCUGGAGCAAUGGUUUGAGAAGAUCUACAAGAUUCUCUUGCUUCACUUGUGUUAGUUGAGCACCCAACAUUUCAUAAUCAAAAUGCACAUGUGUGUGUUAGUUAAGCUCCCUCUGGCCCAGCUUUGUCAUUCACAAAAUAAUGAAACAACCAAUCAAAUAAACAGACACAAAGUGAAAUUAAAAACUAAUUUGCAAACCUGCAAUGUGGAUGUCAAAAUUGGAAGGACAUAUCUCUAAGGUGUGCGGCGACUCUGACGAGGAGAGAAGAAAAAUCUGAAAUUAGAAAUAAAAUACAAAACAAAGAACAGAGAAAAAAAAUUCACGGUGUUGGGAAUCGCCACCAUGGACACAUACCAAAGGGUGUGCAACGAUUUUCUUUCGGUUCAUGAUCUUGACCACCGAUGGCAACGAGGGU
rnacentral:lncRNA from 1 species